rfam:Gossypium raimondii Chr07_contig_25, whole genome shotgun sequence.
UAUUAAAAAGUUCAUCUAUUUUUACUAUUGAAAAUUAGUGUAAUAGUUACAUGUGGCGUACCACGUGUACCUGAUGCUAAUGUAUAGGGAUAAGUUUUUAAUAAUAGAAAUUGAUGGAAAUUUUACCA